rnacentral:rRNA from 1 species
CGCCUACGGGGCGCAGCAGUGGGGAAUAUUGGGCAAUGGACGCAAGUCUGACCCAGCAACGCCGCGUGAAGGAAGAAGGCUUUCGGGUUGUAAACUUCUUUUAAGGGGGAAGAGCAGAAGACGGUACCCCUUGAAUAAGCCACGGCUAACUACGUGCCAGCAGCCGCGGUAAUACGUAGGUGGCAAGCGUUGUCCGGAUUUAUUGGGUUUAAAGGGUGCGUAGGCGGAUUUUUAAGUCAGCGGUAAAAUGUCCGGGCUCAACCCGGGUCGGCCGUUGAAACUGGGGAUCUUGAGUGGGCGAGAAG